ACUCCUACGGGAGGCAGCAGUGGGGAAUAUUGCACAAUGGGCGGAAGCCUGAUGCAGCAACGCCGCGUGCGGGAUGACGGCCUUCGGGUUGUAAACCGCUUUCGCCUGUGACGAAGCGUGAGUGACGGUAAUGGGUAAAGAAGCACCGGCUAACUACGUGCCAGCAGCCGCGGUGAUACGUAGGGUGCGAGCGUUGUCCGGAUUUAUUGGGCGUAAAGGGCUCGUAGGUGGUUGAUCGCGUCGGAAGUGUAAUCUUGGGGCUUAACCCUGAGCGUGCUUUCGAUACGGGUUGACUUGAGGAAGGUAGGGGAGAAUGGAAUUCCUGGUGGAGCGGUGGAAUGCGCAGAUAUCAGGAGGAACACCAGUGGCGAAGGCGGUUCUCUGGGCCUUUCCUGACGCUGAGGAGCGAAAGCGUGGGGAGCGAACAGGCUUAGAUACCCUGGUAGCGUCGUC
rnacentral:rRNA from 1 species